rnacentral:rRNA from 1 species
AACGAACGCUGGCGGCAGGCCUAACACAUGCAAGUCGAGCGAGGACUUCGGUCCUAGCGGCGGACGGGUGAGUAACGCGUGGGAACGUGCCCUUUGCUUCGGAAUAGCCCUGGGAAACUGGGCGUAAUACCGGAUGAGCCCUUUGGGGGAAAGAUUUAUCGGCGCAGGAUCGGCCCGCGUUGGAUUAGGUAGUUGGUGGGGUAAUGGCCUACCAAGCCGACGAUCCAUAGCUGGUUUGAGAAGAUGAUCAGCCACACUGGGACUGAGACACGGCCCAGACUCCUACGGGAGGGAGCAGUGGGGAAUCUUAGACAAGGGGGGAAACCCUGAUCUAGCCAUGCCGGGGGAGCGAUGAAGGGCGUAGGGUUGUAAAGCCCUUUGAGCUGGGAAGAUAAUGACGGUACCGGCAGAAGAAGCCCCGGCUAACUCCGUG